UACGUAGGGCGCAAGCGUUGUCCGGAAUUAUUGGGCGUAAAGAGCUCGUAGGUGGCUUGUCGCGUCUGCCGUGAAAGCCCGUGGCUUAACUACGGGUCUGCGGUGGAUACGGGCAGGCUAGAGGCUGGUAGGGGCAAGCGGAAUUCCUGGUGUAGCGGUGAAAUGCGCAGAUAUCGGGAGGAACACCAGUGGCGAAGGCGGCGAUCUGGGAAGAUACUGACGCUGAGGUGCGAAAGCGUGGGGAGCAAACAGG
rnacentral:rRNA from 1 species